UACGUAGGGGGCCAGCGUUGCUCGGAAUUACUGGGCGUAAAGGGUCCGUAGGCGGUGCGGCAAGUCGAUAGUGAAAUCUCUGAGCUUAACUCAGAGGCUGCUAACGAAACUGCCAUGCUAGAGUGUGAGAGAGGCGAGUGGAAUUACGGGUGUAGCGGUGAAAUGCGUAGAUAUCCGUAGGAACAUCCGAGGCGAAAGCGGCUCGCUGGAUCACAACUGACGCUGAGGGACGAAAGCUAGGGGAGCAAACAGG
rnacentral:rRNA from 1 species